UACGAAGGGGGCGAGCGUUGUUCGGAUUUACUGGGCGUAAAGGGCGCGCAGGCGGCCGCUCAAGUCAGGCGUGAAAGCCCCGGGCUUAACCUGGGAACUGCGUCUGGGACUGGGUGGCUAGAGAUCGGGAGAGGAGAGUGGAAUUCCCAGUGUAGAGGUGAAAUUCGUAGAUAUUGGGAAGAACACCGAUAGCGAAGGCAGCUUACUACAGGAUGAUUGACGCUGAGGCACGAAAAGCGUGGGGGAGCAAACAGG
rnacentral:rRNA from 1 species